UUUUUUUUGUCGUUGAAAGAAUUAAUGAUCUGUUAACCAUCGUUUUAAAAAUCUAGGACACUAUUUAUACGAUCAUUCACCUGUAUCUCUUAGUGAGUGCGUACAUUUAUCUUAAUUUGUUAAACGAAUUAAGGUUAGCAACUUAAGAUAGAAGUCAUUAUGACAGCAAUCAAAAUGAACUAUGUUGUCAUUGUAAAAUGUAUAUUAUGUUUACUCAUUACUGUAAAUCUUGUAAAUGGUUUUUCUAAAGACAGUAAUUGUGGUGAGACACAUGGAUGCUGGGGAGACUGUGAUGAGAGUUGCUCCUUCUUACUUAUGUGGACCCCUGCAGUGUCAGGUGUAAAUUUUACAAUGAAAGUCGCAUUAUCGUCAAAUGCCGACCAAUGGGCAGGUUUUGGAAUAUCAGCAUCACCAUCAAUGCAAGAUUCCAGUGUGACAUCAUGCCUUAUGACAAGUAGCGGUACAGCGUUUGCUCCAGAGAAUUCUUAUAACAGCGCAACUGGAAGGGGAAACUCUGUUUUAACAAAUUCAACGGAUGGUUUAACAGAUACCUUGGCAUUUUACAGCAACGGCAUUCUGACAUGUGAGUUGACAAGAAGCAACACGAACUCUGACCCGCAGGUUUUUGAUCUUACUACUGAC